AGGAUACCACCUUGUCUUUAGCCCACUGACUUUGAACUUGAAACAGACUGCGGUGGGAAGAAAGCUUAGGAAGAGGCUGAAUGGUGGCAUGAGCAGAGCAAGGAGGUGUGCACACGGGGGGCAGAACUGCAAGGAAAGGGGCCACCGUUCAUCCUGCACCCCUGGUGUCAACAGUGGGGACACCCAAGGAGACUCCCCAAGAUGUUGUCCCUGGCCUGCCACUGUGUUCCUAAGAGCCUUGUAUAGCAGGAGGACAGGCUGAUUUGCUAAGUCCCCACCCAGCCUGGAGAUUCUGAGGGUCUAAGGUUACUCCUUUAUAUUAAGACCUUAUCUCUGUGACAUUAUCCAGGUUAAAAUGCAAAUAUGUUACCAUUAGGGGCAACCAAUUAAAACCUGAUACCUCAAAA